CUCGCUUAAUUGGAUAAUUUGUUUGUUCCUUUUAAUUCAAAGUCCAUACCCUUUUUUUCUUUAGACACUACCCGACUUUACCAUUAACAAAAUUAUUUGUUUAGAAAACUACUACGAUUAUAUUCACAUUAGUUGGUUAAGGAACUUAAACAACAGGAAACUAGGCCAAAAUUAAGCGAGGAAAUGAGAAUGUAACAUCUCCUGCACCAAGCGAAGAGAUGCUAGGAGGUACCAUGAAUGUUAUUUAAAGCAAGAGUCUUGACUAUAUGCCAAAUUGGCUAAACGAUCAAUCGUUGAAUUAGCUUCCUAUAAAUAUGGACAACAAACACCUCGACUGCUGAAUUAGCUUCCUAUAAAUAUGGGCAACAAACACCAGCCUAGUUCCUAGAGAUGACUAAUGUGGUCGAUAAUAUCACCCUUCAGAUAAGGCAUAGUCCUUCCUGCCCGCAACACCUACUGAGGCUUGUUGCAAACUUUCUGCAGCUCUGCUUUAAAUGUUGUACAAUCUUCAAUUUUGAUUGAAAAAUCUCUAAGCCACUACUAUCAGAAUCGCGAAAUACGUCACUUGCAGUCUCAUCAUACUCCUAACUGUGUUUGAAGUCUUCAAAAGCACCCAACCAACGUUAGAGGUGACCAGCCCGAACAAGACUACAUGCUUGCUGUUAGAUACCUGUUGCAUAUUGUUCAAAGAUAUCAAGUAAUACAAGCUCUGACGAGAAAAAAGAGUCAAAAGGCCCCUCAAGUUUCCGAUUAAGAAAAAGGGGUCCCACAAAUUUGUUAAAAAAAAGAAGUCUUUUUGAACAACUGAGAUAGUUGUUAGUCAACUACAUUAGUUGUCUGAACAACUUUACGCAACUGUUGAACAAUUUUGAUAGUUGUUGAAUAACUUAGCAAAGUUGUCGAACAACUACCAAAGUUGUUCUACAACUGGAACAAGUUAUUGGGACGAAAUUUUUAAAAAAAAAAAAAAAAAUUGUCCCUCUCACCUAAUUUAAAAAACUUGAAGGACUCCCACUUAAUUGGAAAACUUAGGAGUCCUUUUUAAUCUAAAGUUCCAGCUCUGACCAUAUGAACGAGCUUUUAAAUUGCAAUAGGAUAGUUUACGUAUCUUUGGUAAACAUCCUACACACUGUUUGGAUGGUGAUUUUUCAUGGUAUGGUAUGAUUACUAAAGUAACCAUGUUUGUUUUGAUUAUUUGUUAAAAUGUAUGGUAUGGUAAGAUUUACUUUCAUGGUUUGGUAACUAUAAAAAUCCUUACUUUCUCUAACCAUCGAUUUGGUGGUAUCCCAUGGUUCGCUUAUAUAUUUUUUUUAAUUAUGCCCUGAUACUAUUUUAUUCUUUACCUUAGUAUUAUUUAACUCCACCUCCUACCCCUCCCCC
rnacentral:lncRNA from 1 species